rfam:Salmo salar isolate Sally breed double haploid chromosome ssa19, whole genome shotgun sequence.
GGCUUCUCUUCCUGAUGAGUCGCUCUGGAUAAGAGCGUCUGCUAAAUGACGUAAA